UGUUAAAAGCAACCAUUUGAGCUCCAUGCAUCCACCCAAUCAUUGGGUUGUAAUUGGAGGAGUCCACACGUAUACCCUUCGGGUACACCCUAAGAAUAUUCUGCUGGGUAAACCUGACAAUUUCUUUUCCAUGAGUUUCUGCAGCCUUUUCAAGUUGUUGCUCACUUAAGCUAAGACGUCUAACUUUAUCAGGAUCCACUUUCAAACAUUCUUCUAUUCCACCUUUAGGUUUCCCAGCAUGAAUAGCGAUUAAAUGUUUAUAUUGUGGUGCAACAAUAUGCUGAGACUUAUUAUCUCCUUCAGGAAGAUCUUCAUCAUCAUUAUUAUCUCCGUCUAAUUCAUUCUUAUCAUCAGUCU
rnacentral:misc_RNA from 1 species